UUUACAUAAUUGUGUAAAAAUAUGUAUAAUUAUACAUGACGAAUUAUAAAACGUUAUAUAUAUAUAAAUGGAGCGAUUGCAGUAUAGAAUUACAUAAUGCAGCUUUAAAUUUCCUAAUCUCCGAGAGAGAGCGCUCGUAUCUCCUUCUGGCUCGCUAUUUACCAGGACUCGCGAUACUAGCGCUCGCGCAAGUGUUAUUAGAAGAACUGUCUAAUACAAGAAAGCAAGUGCCGUGAUUGCCAUUUCAAAAAUAAGUCUACGUGAAAGCAACCAAUAUUCUCUAAGGUGUUAUACGAAAAUCAUUUCCUGAUACUACAGAUGAUAACCCGGUAAAAAAUUUCUCAUACAUAAUUAGACAAAAAUAGUACAUAUCUAAUUAUACAAAAUUAUAUACCGAAUUUGUCCAUACAUAAAUAGA